rnacentral:piRNA from 1 species
UGACUUGUAGAGACAGGCUCAACCCCA